rnacentral:lncRNA from 1 species
CAGUACUUCUAUUUUUUUUACCUUUAUUUAACUAGGCAAGUCAGUUAAGAACAAAUUCUUAUUUUUAAUGACGGCCUAGGAACAGUGGGUUAACUGCCUUGUUCAGGGGCAGAACGACAAAUUGGUACCUUGUCAGCUCAGGGAUUUGAACUUGCGGUUUCUUGCCCAACGCUCUAACCACUAGGCUACCCUGCCACCCCAAUUGGUUACAGUACUUCUAUAGGUCUGAGGCCAUGUUACAGUACUUCUAUAGGUCUGAGACCAUGGUAACACCUCUAUCUGUUACAGUACUUCUAUAGGUCUGAGGCCAUGUUACAGUAUUUCUAUAGGUCUGAGACCAUGGUAACACCUCUAUCUGUUACAGUACUUCUAUAGGUCUGAGACCAUGUUACAGUACUUCUAUAGGUCUGAGGCCAUGUUACAGUAUUUCUAUAGGUCUGAGGCCAUGUUACAGUACUUCUAUAGGUCUGAGACCAUGGUAACACCUCUAUCUGUUACAGUACUUCUAUAGGUCUGAGGCCAUGGAAACACCUCUAUCUGUUACAGUACUUCUAUAGGUCCGAGGCCAUGGAAACACCUCUAUCUGUCUGUCUCUGUCUCUAAACACCAACAAAACCCUUUGGCUCCAAUAAAGAGAUGCCUUAUUUCCCUCCUCAUACAGUAUCUCCCUCCUUUUCUCUUAGAGACAAGGCUGCAUCACAAAUGGUG